rnacentral:ncRNA from 1 species
AAAAUGGCUGUGAAGAGAAGAGUAGGUUUUCGCAUUGAUCCUUCCAGAGAGCCCGGGCGGUGGAAAAGGGCAGGAAACAGGGAACUGAAAAUGGUCUCGGAGCCGCGGGGGCGAAGUGCAAGAGUGCUAAGCCUGCGACGGGAGCGCCCGUUACAGCGUCCGGUUGUCGCGUUGCAAAACGCCGCAGCAGUGAGGCUGUCUCUGUGAGGGGACAGUAAACCAAGGUGGUACCACGGAAGUUUUACGCUUUCGUCCUUGUG